UACGGAGGGUGCGAGCGUUGUCCGGAAUUAUUGGGCGUAAAGAGCGCGUAGGCGGUCCGAUAAGUCGGCUGUGAAAGUCCAGGGCUCAACCCUGGAAAGCCGGCCGAUACUGUCGGACUAGAGUCCGGAAGAGGCGAGUGGAAUUCCCGGUGUAGCGGUGAAAUGCGCAGAUAUCAGGAAGAACACCCGUGGCGAAGGCGGCUCUCUGGAACGCAACUGACGCUGAGACGCGAAAGCGUGGGGAGCAAACAGG
rnacentral:rRNA from 1 species